UACGGAGGGGGCUAGCGUUGUUCGGAAUUACUGGGCGUAAAGCGCACGUAGGCGGCUUUGUAAGUUAGAGGUGAAAGCCCAGGGCUCAACCCUGGAAUUGCCUUUAAGACUGCAUCGCUUGAACAUCGGAGAGGUAAGUGGAAUUCCGAGUGUAGAGGUGAAAUGCGUAGAUAUCAGGAGGAACACCGGUGGCGAAGGCGGCCCUCUGGACGGUGACUGACGCUGAGACGCGAAAGCGUGGGGAGCAAACAGG
rnacentral:rRNA from 1 species